rnacentral:rRNA from 1 species
UACGUAGGGAGCAAGCGUUGUCCGGAAUCAUUGGGCGUAAAGCGCGCGUAGGUGGCUUCGUAAGUCCGUUGUGAAAGUCAAAGGCUCAACCUUUGAAAGCCGAUGGAUACUGUCGGGCUUGAGUGCGGAAGAGGCGAGUGGAAUUCCUGGUGUAGCGGUGAAAUGCGCAGAUAUCAGGAGGAACACCAAUUGCGAAGGCAGCUCGCUGGGACGUUACUGACGCUGAGACGCGAAAGCGUGGGGAGCAAACAGG